CCGAUCAAACGUCGAGUCAGGUCAGCCGUCACCUAGGUUUGGGUCGAGCCUACAUCAAUUUUUUUUUUUUUGUUAGAGUCUGAUCCAACACACUAGCGGAUCAGGUCAGGUCGGUUAGGUUUUUCUGGGUUGAAUUGAGUCAUAGCUGCAAAAUUAUGAUUUGAGUCUGACUCAACACACUGGCGGGUCGGAUAGCCCAUGAUUAGAUCUAACACUAAUAUUUCACUAUGUAUACAUUGGUUAUCUCUGGCUUGAAUCAAGUUAGACUUUUUGUACCACUGUGAAAUUAAAGCAUAUCAUAUUAGGGACUCUCAACUUUAACCCUAACGAAACACAAUGAGAAAAAAAAGUAUAGAAACUUUUAUAAACAAUAAAAAGAUGGCCUUUAAUCAUGCAUGAUCAUCAUCCACACAAUAGUUGCAAAAGACUAAUUAGAACUAAUCCCUAAAUGUACAAGUUGUAACAUCAAAUAUAAUAUAAAGUACCAUCAAAAUUUACCUUAAAUUACACUCUUGGC
rnacentral:lncRNA from 1 species